rnacentral:lncRNA from 1 species
UCAACUUUAAUCAUGCAUCUAGGGGAUAUUGUCUUGUGAUUAUAGCCUUUGAUUAGCUCAUAUGCCAUAAUAACAUUAUCAAGAAUGUUUCUCCCCUCUAUGAAGGCUAAUUGGGACUGACCAACUAAAUAAUUGACAACCAGUUUUAGCUAAUUUGUUAGGAUCUUAUAGAUGAUUUUAUACAGAGUUGAACAUCAGGCAAUGGGUCGAUAUUCUUUGACAUAGCUGGGAUUUUGCACUUUUGGAAUCA